CACAUCACCUCUUCUAGAGUGUGGUGUUGCCAUUGCAGUUUCACCAUGGGGAUCAUCUUGUUGCACAAAACCUUGUCGUUUCUCGUACAUCAUAUCAACUUGCAUCUGCAUCUCUUCGUGAGAAAUGAUACGAGAAGGGUCAAGGUGGUACCUUUUAAGUAUGGAGACAUGGAAAACAUCAUAUAGACUCGCAAACUCUCUAGGCAAAGCAAGGUAGUAUGCCACGGAUUCAGUACGUUCAAUCCAAAAAUGUCCCAUAUAACGGGGGCUCAACUUUUCCCUUUUUUUGAACCGUAUUUUCUCUUUAUAGGUUAAACUAUUGAGGAAGAUUUGGUU
rnacentral:lncRNA from 1 species